rnacentral:tRNA from 1 species
GUGGCUUAGUUGGUUGAAGCGCCUAUCUAGCGAAUACGGAGUCGUGGGUUCAAAUCCCACC